GCAUCUAAGCGGGAAGCCUGCUUCGAGAUGAGGGCUCCCUCCCACUUGAUGGGGUAAGGCUCCCAGUAGACGACUGGGUUGAUAGGCCAGAUAUGGAAGACCGGUAACGGUUGGAGUUGACUGGUACUAAUAGGCCGAGGGCUUGUCCUCAGUUG
rnacentral:rRNA from 2 species